rnacentral:lncRNA from 1 species
AUGUUGAGUCGGGAAACGAAGAAGUUGGCAAAAUCAUUCAAAGAGAUGUUCGAAACCCAUUUAACCAAACUGAAGAGUAUCGAAUCGGAUGAAGAAGAAUGGAAUGCUUUGGAAGCCAAACUUCGUGAAGCACAGGAUGCGAGAGUGGAGGACCGUAAGAAAUGGGUUCUUUCCAUGCAAGAGGCGCUUUUGGAAUUUAGUGAGAAUGAUGAUAAGAGACAUGAAGAGAGCUUGAGUAUGUUGGCGUUGUUCACCACUGCAUCAAAGAAAACUCGUCUUGCACUGAGUGAACUGUCCAGUGCAAUCACUGAGGAUAUCAAGGCAUGUGAACCAAACUUUGCCGAAGUCAUGAGCGUCUUGAACAAGGUUGAAGACAAUCUAAAGCAUCAGCAAGACUCAACCGUCGAAAAGUUGCAAUCUUGGAAGAAUUCGGAAAGUGAGCGGUUGACUGCUAUCAUCGGGAGUGUUGAAAACCUAUCAUCAGUUUCGAAAGAAUCUCAGAAAAGCUUUGACUCUUGGAGUGCUGGUUUUAAUGAAGGUUUGGUCGAAAGCGACACCAAGGAAGAACAACUCGAAAAAGAGCAAGAAGAGGGCAUUCUUGAAGAAGUGAGCAACCAGAUAUCACAGUCUGAAACAGUUCUAAAUGACUAUGCGGAAUGCCAUCUAACAGCCAUCUCGGAAAUGGGCAAUAUCAUGCAAGAUCACCUUGCAAAUGCUGAAAAAUUACGUAAAGAACUAGAAGAAAACAUGCAGGCUCAAAACAACGUCCUCGAGAAAUUCGUUCAGGAGGACUUCAAGAAGGACAUCCCCACAGGCUCUACUCCGCAGAAACGUGAAUUCGACUAUCCACAGGACCUCACUGCCACUUCUCCACAUGAGAUAAUUCUUGCCAGAUUCCGAGAGACAGUCAAUCAUGAACUUUCUUUCAAUGAUUCCUUAGCAGAGUCAAUCCAUUCUGAGGCCUCACAGGAAAUGGGAGCCUCAACAACUGCAGAGACAACCUCCUUAGUCACAUCAGUAUCUGACAGUUCUAUCAGUUCAGAUCAGAAAGAAAAUACGGCUACAGACACUAGAGAUACUGAUGUGGUUACUCUUCCAAAAUCCAAGAGAAUCAAUCAGUCCUCCAUCCCUCAAAUGACACCCAGGAAGAAAGUCCUAGGUGAAAUGAAUUAAUUGCUUGUAAUGGAUGGAAGCAGGGCGUUCUCUAAAAGAAGACGCGUGCCCUUUUUCCACAUACCCAUGAUCUCUAAAUGCCUUUCUUAUACAUAUCAAACUGAACACAGUAAUGCUUUUUAAAAAAAUUUAUUUGUAGGAUUAUGUGUGCUGCCAAGUUUUAUAAAUUUUAACAGGUUUUUUAAGUGUUUAAAAUGUAUACCGUUAGGUUAACGUAAUGAUUUUGCUAUGAUAUUGAAAAAUGCAUGAUAUUUUGAGUAAUUUUGGCGUAUUGCAAUUUUCUCUGUCAUUUCAAAGAUGCAUCAAAUCUUCAUCCUAUCUUUAUCUCCCAUCUUUUUUUCCACCCUUAUCAUAUUUUAUCUCCUUUUUUCAUCAACUUGUGAGUCCAAGCGCGUACCUUAAUUUUCCUUUUUGAUUCGUGGGUCCAAUUAGUACCAUAUUUUCCCUUAAUUUAAUUUAUUCCUGUACUAACCUUCAUACUUACCCUUACUCAUCCCUGAAUUCAAUACCUAGUUGUCUACUUUAAAUUCGAAAUCUCUGUGCUACUUUGUCUCCGGUACUGCACUAAAGCGUAAAGGUCUUACUUGAAACAAAGAUCACUGUUUGAAACUUGGUUUCUGCUUAAAUGUUGCAUUGAAGUCAUUCAGAAAGGUUGACACCCCUUUUCUCUUGUAACUGAUUCUUCUUUUUUAUCACCUGUAUCAUUGAGCUUGACUUCUUCAUGUUCUUUCCCUUUCAUGCCUUUUAAUUCAUUGAUAUAGAGCAUUUGUCUCCGUUUCAUUUACUUUCUAUGUUUACAAGAUAUGUCGAUGUUUUAUAUUUUAUUAAAUUCAUUUGAUUUAAAAUUGUUGUUGUUUCUUUUCUGUUAAUACUUAUUUUUUGUUUACAAAAGUAAUUAUCCUGGAAAAUAAAUACAGUAGAAUCCAAUAGCUUAUUCUAUUGUAUCAGUUUCCCUACUGAGAAUGCACCACGGCACCUUAAGAUUGCAUUUUUCCCCAUUGACGUAGGAGAAAAGUGGCAUUUGUUGCGUUUAAGUUCUUAUGGAUUUAAUGUUAGUAAUUAACUUUCGACUGGUGAUGUCAGUUAUUCUGUGAAACUGGAGAAAGCUCUGAUUACAUCAAACGUUGCCUAAUUUCUUCUCAUGAUAUACUUUUUACCAGAAAACUGAGCAACAUUCUAACUUAAAAUUUAAGAAGUAUAUUUUCCAUAAUCCGAGAAAAAUUUGGCAAAAGUUUCAAGGCGUCACUUUUUCAUGUUCUGAUGUGAAAUACAGCGUUGAUAAAUCUGUCCAGCUGCUCAGUGAAAUUGAAUAGCUGAUAGGUAUAGUCCAUCAGUUGUUGAUCAAACUGAUAGGGGUCAAAAUUUUUAGUGUCGAAUAGAGAACAAGUUCAUUUUUCGAAACAACUUGAAGUUAUUACUUUAAUUAAAUAUACAUAAAUAAAUACAUUUUAAAGUAAACUUACAUUUAGAUAACAUAGAGGUAACAGAAAUAUACAUAAUAAAAUACAUACAUCAUAUUUCACAUAACAAGUACGUUAUGGUUCAAACAAGUAUGAAAUAAAAUGCGCAGACAAGUCACGUUGAAUAAGUACAAAAAAUCUCAUCAAACAAAACAGCUGCGGUGUCAGACGAGGUUGCUGUUAAAUAGCUAUAAAUUGAGCUCCAAAAAUUAUCAAAGCAACUGAUGUUUUUUUGAAAACUUGCACACAAAAAAUACGGCACCAGUAUUUCCAUCAUGAACAAGUGCCCAUCGCAUUAUGGUGACACAAUUACCCUAAGUGUAAAGCCGCCCUGCCAAGAAAAAUUAUGCAACUCCAUAGAAUUACGAAUAGUAGGAGGCAGCUGUAUUGACAAUAGAAUAAGAUCAGUGAUUCUAGGGAUUCAAGUUUAGCAGAAUUGAGGCGAAAACCAACUCUUACUGAAAGUACACACUUUUAUAGACAAGCCACUAUUUGGGGCCUUAGGAAAUAUUUUUUAAUGUUGUACUGUCACGCAAAAACUUGAACUAAACUAGCGUUUGUUCAGCGAGAUGCGAGUGAGGCAUAAUUAGAGACAACCCCUGGUAAAAGUUCGUAAGAGCGAUGAGAUAUUCUUCCUUUGACUUGAUAGUCAGAUGACAUAUGUAAGUGUCAUUCGAGAGAAUAACUAGCAAUUUCAGCAUUUGCAAGGAUAAUAAUUGAGCUUGCGAAGGCAUAUUGCUUGGCUUUGCUGUAAUAGUAGUUUUUGAACUUUUCUAAUUCACCUGCACUAAAUACAGUCACUAUGCGUUCUAUCACAAAACCAGAGGCACCAAGUUUCUUACUAGACAGAAGCUUGUAACUUUGAGUGGUUACAUAAGCAACAUGUAUACUUAAUAUACGAAUCAGACAGCGCAAAAAUGGAAGAUUAUAUCCGAUGUCUUUAUUGAGGGUAUUAGCGUGUUUUUUUUACUGCUCUCGAUCUUUAUGCAAAUACUUGAAUUCUUACAAAGAAAAUAAUUUUGUGACAGAUAGACAGAAGAGACAAUAAUUUAGAGCAUGACCUUCGGUUGACUUUUCUAAGGUCUCACAGACAGAGGCAUGAUGAAUCUCCCUGAGUGUAUAUACUGAAUGAAGAGAGCCAAAAGAAAUAAUAGAAGAGAGAGCUUUUACCACGCCUAAAUAUGGCAUGGAAUUGUUACAAAUAAUUUGUUAAAACAGCGAUUUCAAUAAAAUUCGCUAAAAAAAAUAGUGCCACUGCUCAACACUUGGCUGGGUACAAGCCCGAGGAUUUAUAAAACCUACAAAAAGCUGUUAAAGGAUUCUUAUUGAACAUUCAACACACCUCUAAACUGCACAGAUGAAGUAAAAUCUGCUCAAAAGACUGUUACUAA